rnacentral:rRNA from 1 species
UGGUGGAGUGAUUUGUCUGCUUAAUUGCGAUAACGAACGAGACCUUGACCUGCUAACCAGGCGCGCGCACCUUGCGGUGCGUGGCGGCUUCUUAGAGGGACUACCGGCGUUUAGCCGAGGGAAGUGAGGCAAUAACA